AAUGUGUAAGCUGUGCUGAGAGAGCCCCACCCAUGCGCCUCUCUGCCACAAUCUUGUGAUGUUCAAGAUGGCAGAGGCAGAGCAGAUACAGAACACAGACUAUCCCUGGGGAUAUAUGUCUUCACAGCUAUAACCCUAACCUACAAGGGCUAACUCACAGUGCUCAAGGACUCUGAGAUGAAGCCUCAGUUGGACGUGAGGAGACCUAAAGGCCCUGAGCCAUGUGGUGUCCUGUGUGGGAACAGCUUACAGACCACAAACGUGACAGAGAGCAGGUUCAACCACAUCUGAACCAUGUCCUCCCGGUUUUGACCCUUGCCUGUUUCUGGACCUUGUACCCGCCUGCCUGACCAGUCUGCCUGCCUUGACCACGAGCCUGUCUGCCACUCUGUACCUCCUGGACUCUGAUCUGGUUUUGACCUUUUUGCCUGUCCACAACCAUUAUCUUGUCCACCUCUUUGGAUUAAUAAACAUUGUAAGACUCCAACCAUCUGCCUCCUGUGUCUGCACCUGGGUCUUGCCUUGUGACAUGAUAUUGAGUGUCAAGAACUGAAACGCAGCUGGGUUUUUAGCCCUCAACAUUUUCCCGUGUGUAUCAAGAAUGGUCCACCACCUAAAGAACA